AAGGCCCAAGAAUCUCAACAACAGAUUCCCUCGAACAGCUCCAAAUCGGGUUCCAUGCUCUCAAUUGAAAAACGUCCCGCUCCAACAUGAUUUGUAGGUCAGCCAGUGCAACCAAACGGCGCCGCCGCUCUUACUCCAUGGCGUAAGGAUCUCGACCAUGAAUCACGAACAACGUCCCUGAAUCCGCGCCCCACUUUGUCGUCGUAAUCCAAUCCCGAAUCAUAGCUUUAUGCGAAUAAUAAAUCAAUGGAAGAGCGAGGACCUACCGUGUAUUGCGUUGUCGUUGAAGAUGAAGACGACCUUUUCGGAUUCGUGUCUUGCUUCGAUUUUUCCAGGUUGGUUUAUUGGCUUUGAAGUGUAUGAUGGAUGCUUGCUUGAAUUCAAUGGCUAAUGCAAAGCUUUGAAUGGGCUUCGGGAUGGCUUGCAUUGGUUAUGAAGCUUGUUGGAAUUGGCUAAGGGUCAAUGUUAUCAUGGAGCUGAUUAUGGAUUUAGAGACUAUGGCUUGAGCAAUUGGAGUGCAUUGCUUGGAAUGCAUCAUUGGUUUUUAUGGUCAUGUUGUAAUUUUAAAUGUUAAUUUGCAAUUGAACUAUGUAAAUUUGGAAUGUAUGGUUGAUGUAAGUAUGUGAAUUGGUUUGGGAAGUGAACUGUAAUAGUUUGAAUGGAAAGCGAUUAGUUUAUGUAAAUGAUUUUAUGCUUGUAAUGAAGAAUGUAAUGCAAUGCUUAUGUGAUGUAA